rnacentral:misc_RNA from 1 species
GAAACCCUGAUUUCGUCAUCAAACUCUUAUGCGAACAGCGUCCCUGCGAUCAACUCCCAAGUCGCGACUUCCAGGUCGCCAUGGCCGACACCUCUAAAAAAUUUCCAGCCUCGCCGUCGCCACCAAGCCACGCCCUCUCCGCUCAGUGUUAAUUUCUCCCUUUUUCCUCUCCUUGCUUCUCACCUUCUCUGCUCUACCAAAAAGACAACAGAUCUUUCUUCCUUCUUUCUCUCCUUGUAUU